GACAGAGGGGGCAAGCGUUGCUCGGAAUCACUGGGCGUAAAGGGCGCGUAGGCGGGAUGGCAAGUCGGUCGUGAAAUCCUUCGGCCCAACCGAAGAACGUCGGCCGAUACUGCCGUUCUUGAGGGAUGCAGAGGAGACUGGAAUUCCCGGUGUAGCGGUGAAAUGUGUAGAGAUCGGGAGGAACACCGGUGGCGAAGGCGGGUCUCUGGGACGGUACUGACGCUGAGACGCGAAAGCGUGGGGAGCAAACAGG
rnacentral:rRNA from 1 species